GGGAGCCACACCAGCUGUACUGUCCCCAGUGGAAAGAGCCAGGACCCAGGACAGGCAGUGACAGCUUCCCAGAGCACAAAUACUGUUGACUUGGGAGGUACCAUUGGCAAAGUGGCCUGUGAAGAUCACCUUGUCGUAGCCUUGGUUCCUUGCCCUCCAGAGAGCCGACUCCCCUUCUCUGGGCUGGAUGAGCAGGAGAGACAGAGACACCUGGCCCUCCCGGAACAGAGUGAAGCUGACAAGGUAGGUGCCAUUGUUGAGGUCGCUCACCUUUCCCGAGGCGCCUGCCUGCAGGGCUGGGGAGGACAUCCUGGCCCUCAGGAAAUCCCCGCCAUAUGGCUUCUGUGUCCCAAGUGGUCCCCCACCUCCAGCAGGACAUCCGGCUGAUCCCCCCCGCAUUAUGUGGCCCU
rnacentral:lncRNA from 1 species